UACGAGGGGGGCGAGCGUUGUUCGGAAUUAUUGGGCGUAAAGGGUGCGUAGGCGGUUCCGCAAGUCCUGUGUGAAAUCUUCGGGCUCAACUCGAAGUCUGCACGGGAAACUGCGGGGCUUGAGUGUGGGAGAGGUGAGUGGAAUUCCCGGUGUAGCGGUGAAAUGCGUAGAUAUCGGAAGGAACACCGGUGGCGAAAGCGGCUUCCUGGUCCAGCACCGACGUUCAGGCACGAAAGCGUGGGGAGCAAACAGG
rnacentral:rRNA from 1 species